rnacentral:rRNA from 1 species
GACAGAGGGUGCAAACGUUGUUCGGAAUUACUGGGCGUAAAGCGCGUGUAGGUUGCUCUGUGUGUCGGAUGUGAAAGCCCCGGGCUCAACCUGGGAAGUGCACUCGAAACUACAGAGCUGGAGUCUCGGAGAGGAUCGCGGAAUUCUCGGUGUAGAGGUGAAAUUCGUAGAUAUCGAGAGGAACACCGGUGGCGAAGGCGGCGAUCUGGACGAUGACUGACGCUGAGACGCGAAAGCGUGGGGAGCAAACAGG